AUAUGUGUGUGUGUGUGUGUGUGUGUAUAUAUAGAUACUUUUCAAAAAUAAGUUCUCUCUUGAAAGGAUGGGGAAGAGGCAAGAAGAAAUAAGCCCACAAAAUCUAUUCUCAAGCUCCAAGAUAUUGCUAGAUGGUUAUUUUGAGCAUCACAAUCCUACCUAGUUUACACUUUUUUCUUAUCCCCCAGGAUUUGCUCUUGGCCGCUUUGGGGAUGCAGAAGAGAGGCCCAUAGGAAACUCAGGUUGAGGCCCCUUUGUUGCUUUUGAAAAAGUAGAGGUUAAAGGAAAAUGCCCACCUUAAAAAAUAAAAACAAAACAAAACACUCAAGUGGCCAACUGCAGGACGAGGGCCUACUUAAUGUUCAGUUC
rnacentral:lncRNA from 1 species